ACAACAAGCCCAGAUCUCUCCCACCCGGACCUAAACUUACCCAGUCUGUAAGCGGGGGCGGGCUCUGGCCUUAGUUGGUGUCCCCCUCCGCGGGUGUUUGUUCGGUAAACCUGUGUUGCUGUAGAGCCGCCUCCGUCCGUUUUUCCUCCCGUUCCUGCGCUAACAAUGACAUUAUACCAAAUGUAACUGAUAUACUAAUACAUGCUGCUGUAAUAAGGAGUCCUCAUUUAAGUUACUGUGUCCAAAAUGAGUUUCCAGUGGUCCUCCAUCUUGAUACAUGCUCCAGUAUCACUUAUACAGAAAGGGUGGACAUGGACACAAGGGUUCAUGGGUGGUUAGCCUCAAAGACAAAUAUUAGUGAUGAACAUCAUGCUGUACUCAGAAUUGCUUCUCUUGACUGAUAAUGAAAGCUUUUUCACUAAGCCACGCUUGACUGCCUGACUCUUCCAUUAUGAUGAGCCCUCUCCCAGGAUGCUCCUCAGGGGUUUAUUACAGUUGACUUCUGGAUCAGGC